CUUCUUCAGUUAUGGAAUGAUUUAUCCUAGCAAAUUGUUGAGGUGUGCGCGCUAUUUAUCAACGACUACCUGCUAGCCUCGUCAACAAACUUCAAAGUGAGCGACGCAUAGAAAACGUUUUCCAGUUUUAAAAUAUUAAGCUCCCUGUGAGGACGUCAUUACUUAACAGAAGCCGGUUCAACACGCGCAGCUCCUGUUCAUGACGUCAUCACUAAACUGAAGCCAGCU